AUGGCUUGUUGCCCUUCGCGAAGUGUCAGCAUGGAGGCCGCUGAGCCCCUAGAGGAGGGUCGCUCUGCCUGUUCCGAGGACUUGUCAGGGGGCUGUAGGGAGAAAGGAAAUUUGAUUUUUCUUCUGCUUUUGGUUCCCACGUCACCCCCCCACCCCGAACCCUCUGACCCUUCAGCCUGUAAGUUGUUGAUGGAAGGUCUCAUCUUCCGAGAGGUCCCCCUGCUGACUGGGGGCGCAGAGACGGCCGUGCUGGGCUCCACGCUGUCCCUGGGGCGUUCGCAGCGAGAGCAGCAGCGAGGGGCAGAGGCGCUGAGUCAGGGGAGGCCGCACGUGCGGAUCCCCCGAGCGGGAAGCACCCUCGGCGGGACGCGGCGGCAGAGAAAGCGUCUCGGCACCGGGCGGAGAGACGUGGGGAAAGACACGAACGGGGUUAGAGGAACAGAAAGAAAAAGAACCCAAAUAGGAGUCUUUUUUUUUUUUUUUAAAGAUUUUAUUAAUCUACUUGAGAGAGAGCGAGAGCGGGCGACAGCACAAGCAGCGGGAGGGUCGGAGGGAGAAGCAGGCUCCAUCCCGGGACCCGGACGGAGCCAGAGGCGGACGCUCGACCGACCCAGGGCUUCCCAAUGCCCAUUGCCCUGGGCUGUUAGGCUCAGGAACAGGCAGAGGGAGGGACCCCAGUGAAUCAAGAGCCCAGACCUUAUAAUUCUUGCUCAGUUAGUGAAACCGCUGUCUUCUAUCCUGGGGUAAUCAGCAUACACACCCAGCUUGUCAGGGACCCUAUUCUCUGCCUUAAGGGGCCCCAGAUGGGGCGGUGGUGUGAGGGUAGUGCUCAACUGGCAGAAAUGACCGCAGUGGGGUAGAAGAUCCCCCCACAGGGCCCGGCAGGGUGGGGGCUGCGGCAUCUGACAACCCUAACCGGCCGACUGGCCGCACUCGAUAGAAACAUGUUCUGUUGCAGUUCCAGAGGCUGGAAGUCCAAAGCCGAGGUGGGCAGGGCCGUGCUCCCCUGGAAGCUGCAGGGGAGCCUUGCGCAUCACCUUCUCUGCUCCCAGUGCCGGCCUGCAGUCCUGUGGUCACUUGGCCGUCCUCUCCUUGCACGCCUGAUCUAAGAAGGACUCUCGUUGACACAGGAGUCUCCCUAUUCCAGUAUGGGUUCAUCUCAACUCAGCCAGUUAUAUCUGCAAUGACCCUACUUCCAAAUAAGGUCAAAUUCACCGGGGGUUAGGACCUGGACAUAUCUCUUGGGCGACACAGUUCAACCCAGAUCGGGGGAGAUGGGAGACUGGCAGCAGGCGGGGGAACCGAGCUGCUGUGGGCGGGGGAGCCGUGGGAAAGGGGCAGCCGGGAGGCAGCAAGGCUGUUGGAUCCCAUGAAGACGCUGGUGUGAAGCCAUGGUUCCCCUGAGCACAGGCACAGAAGUGCCACAGGUGUCCAGGCAGGAGCAACAGCAUCGACAUGCGUCUCCUGGCUCUGGGCACUGAGGGAGUCUGGGGACAGUGGCCCCCAGCAGCAGUGAGCAUGUCCACGGCCGAGAACAGCUCUCCACCAGGAAGAACUGGGGCUCGGGGGAGAAACAGCCGCUCCAGGGCUGGAUCCCGGAGAGAGGAGGAGGAGCCUGGAAUAUUCUUUCCGCCAAAAAACCAAGAUGUGCCUCCGCCCGCUGGGGACACAGCAGAGCACAGAGGUCAGUUCUAAGGGCUCCGAGUACCAAGUCUAGGAUAGUGUGAGCCUCAACGUGGGUCUCCACCUCCCAAACCAAGUGGACACCCACCGGCCGGGGAGCGUGAAUAAAGCAAGACCGGCGGAGAGGAGGAAGCUUGCCUCGGGCUCCUUGAGUUCUGGUGCCGAGAGCAGCUCCGAGUGCAAGUGCCGCCCGGGCACCGUGUGCACGUCACCACUCCCCCCCGGGGGCCUUGGCUGGGAGAGGACAGAUCAGAGUCCACCAGGAAGGUCCUGGGGCUUCCUCCAGUUCGUGGAGCACAUGGCGGGUGUUCCGAGCUUACCUCCCACCCCAUUCCCCGUCCCUCCUGCCCACGAAUGCGUCGACACGUUGCCGUCUGAACAUUUCAGAGUUGGUGCGUUUCUGUGCACCCUCCCAAACCCAGCUGUCUUCUCCCGCGCCGGCCAAGGCCCACCCAGCACCUCCCAGGACAGCUGCAGGGGGGAGUUGCUCCCGACCCACAGGACAAGAGGGACACAUUCAGCCCGCGCCCAGGACCGACUCUUUAGAGCCCAGGAACUUGGCGCCAGAUCUAACGGAGUUGAAAUGCGGUCCUUGUGGUUCAGGCGGCUGCCAUCCUGCGGCUCCCCCCACCCCGCCCCACCUCCCCCCACCCCGCCCCGACCCUGGCUUCUGCAGACUGCCAGGGCCCUGCCGCCCGCCACCAUGGUGCUAGCUCUGUCCCCUUCCUCCCUGUUGGCAAGAUUUUACUAAGGAUAAUUUGGACCUCUAGAGACCUCUUUAGGACACUGAAGACCUCCCCAGACUGGUUCUUCCCGGACCUCUCUGUUCCCAAGCUCUACCACCACCAGCCCCCGCCUGUCCUUGGGUGUCCUUCAAACCCCAACCCCUCUCCACCCCCUCCACUCCACCCUCCGCCCCUGCGGCCACUCAAGCCCGAGGCUGCCUGCCCUCACUGGAGGCUCUCAGGGACACAGGGACCCUACCAGCAGACCCGUCAAGCUGGGAGGCUCAUUGGAAACCCUAUUUCAGCCCCUCAGAGGAGGCCGGCCCUCAGCACCCCAACCGAGCCGUAGUCCACAGCCCCCGUAAGAUUGCACAUGGGGCCAGAGAAAAUCUUGAGGUCUGUUCUAUCAACCUGGAUGAGAAGCAUUCUCCCUCAGGUGAGGCAGGAGAUCUCAAAUGGUCUCAUCUGCAGAAACACAAUUCAGGUAAAAACAGAAAGCGGGGGCUCUCUGCUCUUCCCCGUUCGACAGACAGCCACAUCUCCAGGUGCAGUGCCAGCCCCGUGCCCGAGACACAAUGGUGAAGGUCGGAGUGGACGGAUUUGGCCGUAGUGGGCGCCUGGUCACCAGGGCUGCUUUUAACUCUGGUAAAGUGGAUAUUGUCGCCAUCAAUGACCCUUUCAUGGAUCUCAACUACAUGGUCUGCAUGUUCCAGUAUGAUUCUACCCACGGUAAAUUCCACAGCACAGUCAAGGCUGAGAACGGGAAGCUUGUCAUCAAUGGGAAGUCCAUCGCCAUCUUCCAGGAGCGAGAUCCCGCCAACAUCAAAUGGGGCGAUGCUGGUGCUGAGUAUGUUGUGGAGUCCACUGGGGUCUUCACCACCAUGGAGAAGGCUGGGGCUCACUUGAAGGGGGGGGCCAAGAGGGUCAUCAUCUCUGCUCCUUCUGCUGAUGCCCCCAUGUUCGUGAUGGGUGUGAACCAUGAGAAGUAUGACAACUCCCUCAAGAUUGUCAGCAAUGGGGGCUCGUGGGUGGCUCAGUGGGUUGGGCCUCUGCCUUUGGCUCGGGUCAUGGUCCCAGGGUCCUGGGAUCGAGCCCAGCGUCGGGCUCUCUGCUCUGUGGGGAGUCUGCUUCUCCCUCUCUCUCUCUGCCUGCUUCUCUGUCUGCUUGUGAUCUCUGUCUGUCAAAUAAAUAAAUAAAUAAAUAAAUAAUCUUUUAAAAAAAGAUUGUCAGCAAUGCCUCCUGUACCACCAACUGCUUGGCUCCUCUGGCCAAGGUCAUCCAUGACAACUUCGGCCUUGUGGAGGGACUCGUGACCACCGUCCAUGCCAUCACUGCCAUCCAGAAGACUGUGGACGGCCCCUCUGGGAAGCUGUGGUGUGAUGGCUGAGGGGCUGCCCAGAACCUCAGCCCUGCUUCCACUGGUGCGGCUAAAGGCUGUAGGCAAGGUCAUCCCUGAGCUGAAUGGGAAGCUCACUGGCAUGGCCUUCCGUGUCCCCACCCCCAACGUGUCUGUUGUGGAUCUGACCUGCNNNNNNNNNNNNNNNNNNNNNNNNNNNNNN
ensembl:lincRNA